UCAUCCUGCAAGGCAGAGUUGUCAGUGAAAUCAAUCAAGUCUUUGUUUGGAAGCAUUUGGGACAGCCCAUACUGUGGUGGUCCUGCAAUGGAGGAGAGAUGUGGGCUGUGCUGACUCAGAAGACAGGUGCUUGUUGCAUCCAUUGGGGAAGGAGCAGUGCACCUUAGGAGCAGGAUGUGGGUUUUGGUGGGAGAAGUCUUGCAGAGCCUCUAGAAGAAAGUCAGGGAGGGAAAAAGAAGACAUGAGGUGGACUUGGAGCUGAGGACAUCCUGGUUCCUCUUACUGUGUGGGAAGCUUGUGCCAGGCAGGAUAGUGCUGUUAAUGUGACUGUUUGAAGAGAGUUGGGAAGGCAUGAGCCGUAGGUAGAGAUAGCAGCAGUCCUGAGAGGAGUUUUCGGGGGGGGACGACUGACAGCUGUUUAAAAACUCACAUAGAUGUUUACUCACUUGCUCCUGCUUGACGUGCCUGACUCAUCCAUCCCUGUCUGAACAUACCAGUUCCCAUUUUUUCUCUUCUCUCCUUUUGUUAACCUCAUCUUUCCUAUUCUUCAAGCUUCCUUUUGUAGCUGGGUUUCAUUCUGUUAGAUCCAGUUGAUUUGGCUUCUGCUCUGCCUGGGCUUUGCACCUGCUACAGCCCCAGCAAACUUGGCAGCAACCCUUCGGCUCUGCAGAGAAAACAACUGUCUAGACCAGGAACGUUCUGCCUGAUGCCCUGGACGGACCCCAGGCACUAAUCUGCAUCCACAACGGCGCGUUGUUGUGUCUGUUGCAAAAGAUGGAUAAAAUCUUUGUGGACUCCUAAUUGCACCUUUAGCCUCCUGGUAUUGAACGCAUCCCCGUGCCUCUGGGGGGCAACGUGGCUUCUGCUGACGUGU
rnacentral:lncRNA from 1 species